rnacentral:tRNA from 1 species
GGAAGCGUGGCCGAGCGGUUUAAGGCGCUGGUCUUGAAAACCAGAGAUAGGCAACUGUCCGUGAGUUCGAAUCUCACCGCUUCCA